AACGGACGCUGGCGGCAUGCCUAACACAUGCAAGUCGAACGAGACCUUCGGGUCUAGUGGCGCACGGGUGCGUAACGCGUGGGAACCUGCCCUUAGGUUCGGAAUAACUCCCCGAAAGGGGUGCUAAUACCGGAUAAUGUCUUCGAACCAAAGAUUUAUCGCCUUUGGAUGGGCCCGCGUUGGUUUAGCUAGUUGGUAGGGUAAAAGCCUACCAAGGCGACGAUCCAUAGCUGGUCUGAGAGGAUGAUCAGCCACACUGGGACUGAGACACGGCCCAGACUCCUACGGGAGGCAGCAGUGGGGAAUAUUGGACAAUGGGCGAAAGCCUGAUCCAGCAAUGCCGCGUGAGUGAUGAAGGCCUUAGGGUUGUAAAGCUCUUUUACCCGGGAUGAUAAUGACAGUACCGGGAGAAUAAGCUCCGGCUAACUCCGUG
rnacentral:rRNA from 1 species